GUGAUAUGGUAUGAUAAUGUGUUAACUAGCAACAUAACCCUUUUUAAAUUGUGCACAUAUGUUUCUUUAGUUAAUUAAGGGAUUAAGAGGUAUUUAGAGCUAAAAACUAAAUUGCGUUGACAUUUAUUGUUUUUAUAUAAAUUGUACACCUGUUCAUGGCAGACAUACAAAUGAGUAUAGUGUGUAAAUAAUCAGAUGGCAGACUUGAAAAUAGGUGUUUUUUAUAUUGUGGUGGUUAAUUAACUCCGUAUAAUCAGGAGUAUUUUGCAGUGUGAGGCGAAAAUUCAUAUUUUAUCCUCACAGAAAAGGCACUGGAGAUUUAACCUUGGCGUGAGUAGUUUGAUUUUAGCCACAACAAACUGCACGGGAACUGAUCUCUGCAUUGACUUGGCUCCAGUAAAGUGGCUGUAGAGCAGAUCUCAUAGGGGAAGAGGUGUACUGAAGAAAAAAUACACCUUCAAAUGAUUGUGGACGUGGAUACAAACGGAAGUCAUAGUUGUUGGAGCACUUCACAAUGGACAGUCAGAUAGCUGUAGAGGCUGCUACCGCACAGUGUUUGAUGUGAGCCAUGAUUGUCAAGAGGAGUAUCAUUGGGAAUAUUAGUAUCAUACGCAGACAAAAGCAUAACUAGAAUUGGCAUUAGGAUAUGUAAAGAAAAACAUAGAAUGUGUGUUUUUAUAAAUAUGUGUUCCCCGGAGUGUGAGGGGGCCUUCAAACAGUUAAAGAUGGCCCUAACCAAUACUCCAGUAUUGGCUGCACCUGACCAAACCAAAUGCUUUAUUUUCCAUAUAGAGGCCACCAUGUUUGGACAGGGAGUUGUGUUGAGCCUUGUCAGGGACAAUGGGAGAGAGAGCUUCUUAUUGGCUUCAUCAGUAGGAAGCUCCUUCUGCUGGAGGUCAUCUAUGCAGCGGUCAAGAAGAAGUGUGUGGUCCUGGUGUGGGCAUUAAAAAAAGUUACAAUUAUACCUGUAUGGUCGAUCCUUCACCCUAAAAAUGGACCAUAAUCCCCUCAUCUGACUAAACAGGGUAGCUGGAGUCAACCAUAUAACCUUACAAUGCAAUAUAGGCCAUGAAAACCGAACAGUAUUGCUAAAGGAUUGUCCUAGCAACCCAAUCUUGAAGACUAAAGUAAACUAUACUUGGACAUCCCCAAGCUGACCCGUCUGGAUCUGGCUGUGUCUGCCGGACUAUGCAUCAAAGGAAUCCAUGUUACAAGACUGUACUACCUAAACAGACUGCUUAUUACUCUGCUAUGGCUCUUGUCUAACAAACACUACCAGACCAAGCACCCAAUCCGACCACCUGGUUGCCUAUCUGUGCAGGGUAUAUGCUCUGAAGCAGCCUGUCAACUAAAAAAAACAAUUUAACUGGGUGGCGAUUUUACAUCAUGCAUGGUAUGAGUGCACUAUUUUAACAGCUUGGGAACUCGAGGAUGAGCUAUCCUGGCAUACCUUAUACACGAGGUAACUGAUGUCUAAAUGUAUGUUUUUGGGGAUAUUCUGUUAAAAUGGCCUGUUGUCUAGAGGUUAAUGAGAAUAGUACUCAAUCUAAUUAUCUCCCAGACACAUAGGCAUAUGGAUGGGAUCUAUAUUGUUCUACUUAACCCUCUGAUGGGGGUCUAUGCAUAAAUGUGUUCAUCAUAACCCAGUAAAGUAUUCCUGUUUUCACCCUUCAUCAAGUCUCUACUGAUGUUUGGGUGGGCUGAUAUAUAUCAAUGAAAACUCUGUGGGAAAAGGAGGCUUUGAUGGAGAUACUUUGGUCGAGAAUUAGAGCUCUGCUCAGCUCAGCCCACCCAAUCAAAAUAAGUGGAGCUUGCCUUGAGCCAGGGCCAGAUUAGGAGUCAAUUGGGCCUGGUGCUGACAAUUAUAAUGGGCCUAAUUAAAGAGUGUUAUCGACAGAAAGCACUAAACCAGUUAUACCUCCCAAGUGUCAUGUAUCUGGUGGAGGUGGUGCUGGAAGGUAACUCACAGGAUAUAGCUAUCAGAGAACACAUACCCUAUGUUAAUCUCUUACUUUCAUCGUUCAAGUAAAUCCAUACCCCCUGAAGCAGGAUUUUGGUGAAUGGGGUAAAAGACUCUCUAAAUUUUCUAAGGACUGUCCCCCAACACUCGCUGGUCCACUCCUCUCCUAACCUUCUUACUAGCAGGCAGAAGCUCCUCUUAUACAGUCUGGGACUGUAGUGAGUGUAGAAGAAAGGGAAGAUGCCACAGUGUUAUAGAGACUGAAGUAGCAAGAGCAUUUGCAUAGUGCGCAAAGUCAGCUUUACCUUAACUAAUUUCAUUGUCAGCCAGUCCACACCAGAUUUGUUCCACUACAUCCCGCUUAAGUUUCAAAACUUAAGCAAGAGCAAGUGAAAAGUAUUUUUUUUUUUUUUUAAUCAAUGGGCCUAUUCCAUGGAAUGCAGCUCCAUCAGCCCCUAUGUUAAUCCAGCCCUGCCUUGAGCUCCACCCUUUGUCAAGAUUGUCGAGCAUAGGAAAAUUACACAGCACAAAGUAGUCCCUACUUUGUGUUAUGUUUUAAAGAGAAAUAGAUCAGAAAUAAAGAAAAGGAACAGAUUUUAAAGAGAAGAAAAAAACAAUAAAUGCCAAGUUGUCCUCCUGACUUUUUCUGGGUCCAUUUUCUUGCACAUUCUGGAUUCAUUCCUAGAUCACACCUCUGGUUACCCCUUCUUCUCAUAUCUGAUUUGCCUCAUAACGAUUAGCUUUAUCUAAUGUCUUCUCUUUUCCAUUCCUCAAUUUGUGAAUCUAGCACCCUGAUCAUUUAUUGGGCUUCAUAUAAGAUUAAUUACCAUAUAUCCUAGACUAGUACGAUUGUCUACCACACAAAUCAGAAAGACAUGGUCGGCCAUUGCACAUUUCAUUUGGCUUGUGACUCAGCUACGCUUUAGAUUUGAGUUUGAGAAUCUCCAGAUCAGCCGAAAUUUGUACUAUUUGCAGUUUGGUGCUAAAUUAAUCUCUUGUAGUGUUGUUUAUACUGAAUAUAUGCUAAUCCUCUAAACAGUAACCACGAUAAAAA
rnacentral:lncRNA from 1 species